UACGGAGGGUGCAAGCGUUGUCCGGAUUUAUUGGGUUUAAAGGGUGCGUAGGCGGCCCGUUAAGUCAGCGGUGAAAUCCCACGGCUCAACCGUGGAACUGCCGUUGAUACUGGCGGGCUUGAGUUCGGUCGAGGCGGGCGGAACUGGUGGUGUAGCGGUGAAAUGCAUAGAUACCACCAAGAACCCCGAUUGCGAAGGCAGCUCGCUGGGCCGAAACUGACGCUGAGGCACGAAAGCGUGGGGAGCGAACAGG
rnacentral:rRNA from 1 species